rnacentral:rRNA from 14 species
UGACCUCGGAUCAGGUAGGAAUACCCGCUGAACUUAAGCAUAUCAAUA